GAUGAACGCUGGCGGCGUGCCUAAUACAUGCAAGUCGAGCGAACGGACGAGAAGCUUGCUUCUCUGAUGUUAGCGGCGGACGGGUGAGUAACACGUGGAUAACCUACCUAUAAGACUGGGUUAACUUCGGGAAACCGGAGCUAAUCCCGGAUGAUAUUUUGAACCACAUGGUUUAACAGUGAAAGACGGUCUUGCUGUCACUUAUAGAUGGAUCGGCGCUGCAUUAGCUAGUUGGUAAGGUACCGGCUUUCCAAGGCAACGAUGCAUAGCCCACCUGAGAGGGUGGACGGCUAGCCUGGAUGUGAGACAGGGCCCAGAGUCCUGAGGGAAGACACAGUAGAGAAUCUUACGGAAUGGGCGAGAGCCGGACGGAGCAACACGGCGUGAGUGAUGAUGGUGUUAGGAUCGGAAAACGCUGAUAUUAUGGAAGUACAUAUGUGUAUGUAACCGUGCACAUCUUGACGGUACCUAAUCAGAAAGCCACGGCUAACUACGUG
rnacentral:rRNA from 1 species